ACAGUCACACGUAGUUUGAUCCGUGCUCAAGAACGACGCUGGCGGCAGGCCUAACACAUGCAAGUCGAGCGAACCCUUCGGGGUUAGCGGCGGACGGGUUAGUAACGCGUGGGAAUAUACCCUUUGGUACGGAAUAGCCUCGGGAAACUGAGAGUAAUACUGUAUGUGCCCUUCGGGGGAAAGAUUUAUCGCCAAAGGAUUAGCCCGCGUUGGAUUAGAUAGUUGGUGGGGUAAUGGCCUACCAAGUCUACGAUCCAUAGCUGGUUUGAGAGGAUGAUCAGCAACACUGGGACUGAGACACGGCCCAGACUCCUACGGGAGGCAGCAGUGGGGAAUCUUAGACAAUGGGCGCAAGCCUGAUCUAGCCAUGCCGCGUGGACGAUGAAGGCCUUAGGGUUGUAAAGUCCUUUCAGAUGGGAAGAUAAUGACGGUACCAUCAGAAGAAGCCCCGGCUAACUCCGUG
rnacentral:rRNA from 1 species